rnacentral:lncRNA from 1 species
UGCGCAUGCAUGGUGAUCAGAACUUGUGUGAAGAGGUGCGAGGAUAGCAUCCUUCCAUAAGAAUUUUAUCAAAAUAUCAAAUUUUUGGAAUUAUAAAUGAGUCAACUAUCUAUGUAGAUUUUUGUGAAUUUUUUUGAUUUGAGAAGGGAUGUGAAAACAUCCCUUCUCUGGUUGUGCGCGCAGGUGAAGGUGCAGAUAAGCAUAUCAGUGAUAAGAGUCCUUCUACUUGAAGGAACUCUUAUCUCUGAUAAUCUGAUCAGAUAAGC